UACGUAGGGGGCAAGCGUUGUCCGGAUUUAUUGGGCGUAAAGAGCGUGUAGGCGGCCAGAUAGGUCCGUUGUGAAAACUGGAGGCUUAACCUCCAGCUGUCGAUGGAAACCAUCUGGCUAGAGUCCGGAAGAGGAGAGUGGAAUUCCUGGUGUAGCGGUGAAAUGCGCAGAUAUCAGGAGGAACACCGGUGGCGAAGGCGGGUCUCUGGGCCGAUACUGACGCUGAGGAGCGAAAGCGUGGGGAGCAAACAGG
rnacentral:rRNA from 1 species